rnacentral:lncRNA from 1 species
UAAGUCAUUCCAUAAUAAAUUCCUACUGUACAAAGAAAUACCUGCAUAAAUCCUAAUAAAAAUUCAUGAGUCAUUUCUCCCGUCUUACAUAAUGGCAGUAUGAGAAGAGAGCACCUGGAUAUGAAUCAGUUCCAAAGCAAAGCAAUCCCUCCCGAUGCACCCUCCACAGAUAUCGCCCAGGAGCACCAUCCACGGCCUACCCUACAUGCCAUCCUACGUGCAGUAUUUGCAUCGGAGUGCAUGUCUUGCAAAAAAACCAAAUUACAUCUAUGAGAUUGGAUAACAUAACGUAUCGCAUCCUUCACUGACCUAUGAUGUAAGCCCCUACAAUUCCAACUUAAAACACUCACAGUAAAAGAAAAUGAAAGUCAACAAAACACAAUCAUUUACGUCCACAGCCCCUUUGGGACUUGACUCUCUCUACAAAUGCUUUCAUACUAGAUUUUGUCAUUGCCCAACUCCCUAAUCUGCUCUGGAGCAGAUGGGUACCCAAUGGAUUUAUCAUCCACUUCAAUCUUCGGGGAGAAGGUAAAAGGGAAAAGGCGAGUAAAGAUAGCCAAAAUGGGCUAACUGAUGCUGCAAGAAACUCAAAACUGGUUGAUCUGUCCGUAGCAUCCAUGUGGGACUCUACGUGACCCUGCCCCUGGGACUCCAGGUGGGAGCAGGAGGGAUUUCCUUCACAUCUGACCUUUCCUCCACCGCCAUGUCUCACCCGAUAGAGACUAAGAACAUUCGCUCAGACGAUGUUCGACAUGCCCACACCAAAAGCACACAAUAGGAAGGUUCUCGUAUACUGAAAGAAGCUGGUUUUCUAGUCCCCAAUCCACACGCCCUACAACAGAGGGAUGGUGAGAUCAACCUAACACAUACCCUCACAGACCUGUUCUGCUCCAUCUUCAGAGAGCAUUCGUCAAUCUUUAAUGGACGACCCAGCGCAUUCAUGAUGCCCAAAACCCCUUGUCUACUCCAAUACUCCACGGGCAGUCCAUGGAGUUGGAUCCCAACAGGGGAGGUUUUCAACGUUUCAAAUACGAGGUUAAAAUUCAGCCACCAAGAAAAGAUAUGCAAGGAAAGAUCACGGAUCAGAAGUAAGCACUGAAAUCAUAUCCACUUCAGAUUGAAAACGAAACAGAUAGCAGUCAGUGGCUAAAUCCAAAACUAGAGGCAUAGAAGAGACUUUCCACGUUUUGGAAACAAAGUCCCUCAAGAUGUGCAGUGGAGGAGAAACUUUUCCACAAGGUUGAAGUCCCAGGGCUGCCUCCACUGCCUCAUAAUCUUCUCAUCGUAUCUAACAUUGGAGGAGAUCUUGAUGCAAUCAAAAGCAAACGUCGAAAGAAAUGAGUAAGAAACGGUAUCCUUAGAAUGGCCAGCAAGCAGGUCCGUCCAAGAUACCCUUUUACCUUCACCUUCACCACCGUGCCAGCAGCAAUCGGAUGAGGAGGUUCUCCCGUGCCCCCGGCGGACAGAGGACCGAAAGGCAGUGCCGAUUCCCUCGCGCCAGCAGCAAUCGGUUGAGCAGUUUCACCGCCGUUAGGCGCCACCGCUCUAGUAGCAUUCAACUGCGCCGAUUACCCCGCGCCUCCAACGGACGGAUGACUGUGAGACAUGCGCUCCCCAGCAUCUUCUCUAGCGACCGAAAGGGCGGCAGAUCGGGGAACCUUAGAAAUAGCGGGCGAAGCUAGGUGGGGAGCCGCGAAANN